UGUAACCUUUUCUUAUUAUUUCUUUUGAGAUGAAUUUCUCUGUCUUGGGAUUUUGUCUAGGUCUCAGUCUUCUUCUCUGUGUUAAGAAAG